CACACACACACACACACACACGCCCUGUUAGCUGCUGCCCAGGAGAGGAGCUCUUCACUGAGGACCCACCAUGCACUCCCUGUCAGUGCACUUCCUCCUCCACACAGUCCCGCGAACUGCGUUUGCUGUCGUUCCCAUUUAUCUGUGAGGGAUCCCAGGCUCAGGGAGUAACUUCUCCGAGGUCACACAGCCAGUGCGGGGUGAAGGAUUCCAGAACCUUCCCACUGCAGAAGAGGGCGUUGCUUUUCCUGCCUCCAUGGCCCUGUGCAGUCGGCCUUCCUACACGCUCAGGUGGGACUCAGGAGCUACAGUCAAUAAAUUCUGAUUCUAACUUACAAGCACAUCCCACCCCACCCCCAGCCGUCACAGGAACAGCCGGAGAGUCUGAGCUUGUCUCUCAGACCAAGCAUGCAACCUUCUCACUCAGGGCUGCCCAUGUGCCAUCAGGCAUUGGUGAGUUCAUCCAGCCCCAAUGCCUCCCUUCCCACUUCCCCUCUCGCCUCCUCUCACCCGCUGGCCCUCCCUGCAAAGUGA